rnacentral:rRNA from 1 species
CCUACGGGAGGCAGCAGUGAGGAAUAUUGGUCAAUGGACGAGAGUCUGAACCAGCCAAGUAGCGUGAAGGAUGACUGCCCUAUGGGUUGUAACCUUCUUUUAUAAAGGAAUAAAACGAGGCACGUGUGCCUUUUUGCAUGUACUUUAUGACUAAGGAUCGGCUAACUCCGUGCCAGCAGCCGCUGUAAUACGGAGGAUCCGAGCGUUAUCCGGAUUUAUUGGGUUUAAAGGGAGCGUAGAUGGGUUGUUAAGUCAGUUGUGAAAGUUUGCGGCUCAACCGUAAAAUUGCAAUUGAUACUGGCAGUCUUGAGUACAGUUGAGGUAAGCGGAAUUCGUGGUGUAGCGGUGAAAUGCUUAGAUAUCACGAAGAACCCCGAUUGCGAAGGCAGCUUACUAAACUGUGACUGACAUUGAUGCUCGAAAGUGUGGGUAUCAAACAGGAGUAGAUACCCCUGUAGUC